rnacentral:rRNA from 1 species
UACGGAGGGUGCGAGCGUUAUCCGGAAUCACUGGGCUUAAAGGGUGCGUAGGCGGCUCGGUAAGUCAGUUGUGAAAGCCCCUUGCUUAACGAGGGAGGUGCGAUUGAUACUGUCGAGCUUGAAUCGGGAUGAGGCAGGCGGAAUGUGGCAUGUAGCGGUGAAAUGCAUAGAGAUGCCAGAGAACACCGAUUGCGAAGGCAGCCUGCUGGGCCUGUAUUGACGAUGAGGCACGAAAGAGUGGGGAGCAAACAGG